rnacentral:rRNA from 1 species
UACGCUGGCGGCACGCCUAACACAUGCAAGUCGAACGAAGUAGCAAUACUUAGUGGCAGACGGGUGAGUAACAUGUAGGUAUCUGCCCUUUGGCCUGGAAUAACACGAGGAAACUUGUGCUAAUACCGGAUAAGUCUUUACGGAGAAAGCUUUAUGCACCAUUGGAUGAGCCUGCACUUGAUUAGUUUGUUGGUGGGGUAAUGGCCUACCAAGACUGUGAUCAAUAGCUGAUUUGAGAGGAUGAUCAGCCACAUUGGGACUGAGACACGGCCCAAACUCCUACGGGAGGCAGCAGUGGGGAAUCUUGCACAAUGGAGGAAACUCUGAUGCAGCGAUGCCG